GUUGUCGUGGCCGAGUGGUUAAGGUGAUGGACUAGAAAUCUUUAAGGAUCUUCCCGCGUAGGUUGAAUCCUGCCGACAUCG
rnacentral:tRNA from 1 species